rnacentral:rRNA from 1 species
AACGAACGCUGGCGGCAUGCCUAACACAUGCAAGUCGAACGAGACCUUCGGGUCUAGUGGCGCACGGGUGCGUAACGCGUGGGAACCUGCCCUUAGGUUCGGAAUAACUCCCCGAAAGGGGGGCUAAUACCGGUUAAUGUCUUCGGCCAAAAGUUUUUUCGCCUUUGGUGGGGCCCGCGUUGGAUUAGCUAGUUGGUAGGGUAAAAGCCUACCAAGGCGACGAUCCAUAGCUGGUCUGAGAGGAUGAUCAGCCACACUGGGACUGAGACACGGCCCAGACUCCUACGGGAGGCAGCAGUGGGGAAGAUUGGACAAUGGGCGAAAGCCUGAUCCAGCAAUGCCGCGUGAGUGAUGAAGGCCUUAGGGUUGUAAAGCUCUUUUACCCGGGAUGAUAAUGACAGUACCGGGAGAAUAAGCUCCGGCUAACUCCGU